AACGAACGCUGGCGGCGUGCUUAACACAUGCAAGUCGAGCGAUGAAGUUCCUUCGGGAACGGAUUAGCGGCGGACGGGUGAGUAACACGUGGGUAACCUGCCUCGUAGAGGGGAAUAGCCUUUCGAAAGGAAGAUUAAUGCCCCAUAAGAUUGUAGUACCGCAUGGUAUAGCAAUUAAAGGAGUAAUCCGCUAUGAGAUGGACCCGCGUCGCAUUAGCUAGUUGGUGAGGUAACGGCUCACCAAGGCGACGAUGCGUAGCCGACCUGAGAGGGUGAGCGGCCACAUUGGGACUGAGACACGGCCCAGACUCCUACGGGAGGCAGCAGUGGGGAAUAUUGCACAAUGGGGGAAACCCUGAUGCAGCAACGCCGCGUGAGUGAUGACGGUCUUCGGAUUGUAAAACUCUGUCUUCAGGGACGAUAAUGACGGUACCUGAGGAGGAAGCCACGGCUAACUACGUGCCAGCCGCCGCAGUAA
rnacentral:rRNA from 1 species